UCGCGGGGGGCGGGCGGCGCAGAGUAGGGGGCGGUGGCCAGGGCCGAGGCGUCGCAGCAGCUAGGACGGUUCUUCUGCCACUGCUGCUCCCUGGACACCGUCCCGCGCCUAUCGGAUUAUAUCUGCCCAAGAUGUGCGUCUGAUUUUAUCGAGGAGCUUCCUGAAGAGACCAGGAGCACAGAAAACAGCUCUGCCCCUUCCACUGCCCCCACGGACCAGAGCCGGCCGCCGUUGGAGAACGCGGACCAGCACCUGUUCACGCUGCCGCAGGGCUACGGACAGUUUGCUUUCGGCAUCUUUGACGACAGCUUCGAGAUCCCCACGUUCUCUCCUGGGGCGCAGGCUGACGGCAGCAAGGACCCUGAGAGACCGUGGGAGACAGAGCAUCAGUCCCGGCCCCGUACUGCGCCCGGCAGCCCCGCCUCCGCCUCCCCACGCGGCGGGCCACCGGCCGGCACGAAGGCCUCCCCACGCUAGAAGGGAUCAUCCAGCAGCUCGUCAACGGCAUCAUCACGCCCGCCACCAUCCCCAGCCUGGGUCCUUGGGGAGUCCUGCACUCAAACCCUAUGGAUUACGCCUGAGUGGCCAACGGCCUGGACGCCUUCGCACAGCUCCUCAAUCAGUUUGAAAACACGGGCCCCCCACCGGCAGAUGAAGAGAAAAUCCAGUACCUCCCCACCGUCCCCGUCACCGAGGAGCACGUAGGCUCCGGGCUCGAGUGCCCCGUGUGCAAGGACGACUACGCGCUGGGCGAGCAGCUGCCCCGCAACCACCUGUUCCACGAUGGCUGCAUAGUGCACCGGCUGGAGCAGCACGACAGCUGCCCCGUCUGCCGAAAAAGCCUCCCGGGACACAACACGGCCACGAACACCCCCGCCCCGGGCCCGACUGGGAUGAACUGCUCCUCCUCGUCGUCCUCCCCCUCCUCCAGCUCGCCCAGUAAAGAGAACGCCACAAGUAACUCCUGAGCCCGCGUGGGCCGGCACCCACCACUGCCCGCUGCGCCUGAGGCUGCGGGGAAACCGCGGGGACUUUCCCAACCACCCUCAGCCAGGGCCGCACGGCACCCACAGACUGGGUGCCCCAGAGGCGCCAGUCUUGGCUGGUCAGCGCUACAGGCCCCGCCUGUUCCAGGGCAGGAUCCUGGACCGGCCCACCGGCUCCCUGGCUCGGGAAGGCGUGGGCCACAUGGUCCCCUCUGGGGCGCCUUCAGCCUCCCCGUCUUUUGUCUAACCUCACCCUCUAAACGUUCAGCGGUGGAAAGAUUUUUAGAAUUUUAAAUUAUUACUGCUUUGAAAUAAAUGGAAGUUUUAGCUCACA
ensembl:lncRNA RNF126P1 ring finger protein 126 pseudogene 1